ACCAACAGAGCCUUCAUGCGACCGUAUUACCAGUGCGUGUAAAGCCCUGGGAGGCUACUGUAGCAACACAUGCACUCCAAAUGAGGAUCCACACUACUCUCUCUGCAAUAGUAAAGAAUGCUCCUGCUGUGUUGAAAAGCCCUCGUGCGGAAUUACCACUAGUGCGUGUUCAGCCCAGGAAGGCUACUGUAGCGACUCGUGCAACGUAAAUCAGAAUGCACUCUCCAAUCUGUGCAACACUGCAAACUGCUCCUGCUGCGUUCAGAAGCCCUCGUGCAACAUCCCAACCAACGCGUGUACAGCCAUAAGAGGCUACUGUAGUGACACGUGCAAAGCAAAUGAAAAUUCAUUUGAAAAUCUCUGCAACACUGCAGACUGCUCCUGUUGCGUUCAAAAGCCAUCGUGCAGCAAUUCCACCAGUGCGUGUUCAGCCCUGGGAGGCUACUGUAGCAACACAUGUGGUGUAAAUGAGGAUCCACACUACUCUCUCUGCAAUACUAUAGACUGCUUCUGCUGUGUUCA